rnacentral:RNase_P_RNA from 2 species
AAUGCAAGCCAUUCUAUCGCCGUUCUGCGCAAUCAGAAAGGAGGAAAGUCCGGGCAACAUAGAGCAUCUCGCUUCCUAACGGGAAGGAAUUUGGGAUUGAAGACCUGAAUGACGGAAAGUGCCACAGAAAAUAUACCGUCUCGAUUAAUCGAGGUAAGGGUGAAAACGUGAGGUAAGAGCUCACGAACUCGCUAAGUGAUUAGUGUUUUGGUAAACCCCGGGAGUUGAAAGACCAAAUAGGCUAACGCAUGUAGGGCUGCUCGCUCGAUGUUAGUGGGUAGGUCGUUAGAGAUAAAUGGCAACGUUUAUACUAGAUUAAUGAUAGAAGAGAACAGAACCCGGCUUAUAGGCUUGCAUUUUUU